UACGGAGGGUGCGAGCGUUGUCCGGAAUCAUUGGGCGUAAAGGGCGCGUAGGUGGCGGGACAAGCGUGCGGUGAAAGCUCGGGGCUCAACCCCGCGUCGGCCGUGCGAACUGUUUUGCUUGAGCACUGUAGAGGCAGGCGGAAUUGCGGGUGUAGCGGUGGAAUGCGUAGAGAUCCGGAGGAAGACCGGUGGCGAAGGCGGCCUGCUGGGCAGUUACUGACACUGAGGCGCGACAGCGUGGGGAGCAGACAGG
rnacentral:rRNA from 1 species